rnacentral:rRNA from 1 species
UACAGAGGUGGCAAGCGUUGUUCGGAAUUACUGGGCGUAAAGGGCUCGUAGGUGGCCAACUAAGUCAUACGUGAAAUCCCUCAGCUUAACUGGGGAACUGCGUCUGAUACUGGAUGGCUUGAGUUUGGGAGAGGGAUGCGGAAUUCCAGGUGUAGCGGUGAAAUGCGCAGAUAUCAGGAGGAACACCAACAGCGAAGGCAGCACUCUGGGCCGGUACUGACGCUGAGGAGCGAAAGCAUGGGGAGCGAACAGG